CGUCAAAUGAAUCUUUGCUUAGUCCCUAGUCCCAAAGGGGUCUACUUUCUUCUUUGCAAAAAGAGAGAACUAAACACUUUAAAAGAGCAAACAGGAUGAAAGAUCCAAGAAAUGCCAAUCCAGUAGUCAACAGAAAAGAGGG